rnacentral:tRNA from 1 species
GCAGUGGUGGGUCAGUGGUAGAAUCCUUGCCCUCCAUGCAGGAGACCUGGGGUCAGUUCCCAGCCAUUGCA